rnacentral:piRNA from 1 species
UGAGACUUGAGCCUUCUCGGAUGAGGUU